GAUGAACGCUGGCGGCGUGCCUAAUACAUGCAAGUCGAGCGAACAGAUGAGGAGCUUGCUCCUCUGAUGUUAGCGGCGGACGGGUGAGUAACACGUGGAUAACCUACCUAUAAGACUGGGAUAACUUCGGGAAACCGGAGCUAAUACCGGAUAAUAUUUUGAACCGCAUGGUUCAAUAGUGAAAGACGGUCUUGCUGUCACUUAUAGAUGGAUCCGCGCCGCAUUAGCUAGUUGGUAAGGUAACGGCUUACCAAGGCAACGAUGCGUAGCCGACCUGAGAGGGUGAUCGGCCACACUGGAACUGAGACACGGUCCAGACUCCUACGGGAGGCAGCAGUAGGGAAUCUUCCGCAAUGGGCGAAAGCCUGACGGAGCAACGCCGCGUGAGUGAUGAAGGUCUUCGGAUCGUAAAACUCUGUUAUUAGGGAAGAACAAAUGUGUAAGUAACUGUGCACAUCUUGACGGUACCUAAUCAGAAAGCCACGGCUAACUACGUG
rnacentral:rRNA from 1 species